rnacentral:lncRNA from 1 species
CUUGUAAUCCGACAACGCUGCAAUCCGCCAUAUUGAGAAAACCACACCCUUUUUUAACACUGUCUCUUAUGGAAGUAUUUUUUCAAAGUGUUUUUUCUCUAAACUGGAUAACAACUUCGACCAAAGAAAAAUAUUGAAAAAUACUACAUCAUUCAGGGCAUAUGGGGAUUGUUUACAUAUGUAGGACCCAAACAUAUUGUCAUGUGUGACCACGUAUUGGUGGAAAAUGCUGUAAUCCAUCUAUUCGACCUCUCAAGAAGAACUGGUGGUGUUUUUUAAAGCAUUCUUCUGUGGCAUUCCUUGUCGGAUAUGUAUUGUUUGGAUAGUUUAUUCAUAAAUAGAUUUUUUUGUGUUUCAAAUGAUUUGUAUUUGUUAGCAUUAUUAUUCAAAAAUAGAGAAUAUGGAUGAAUACAAAAUAAACACUUGGGAUGCUUCAUCAUCGUUGAGAAGUUGCUGUAAUCCUUGGAUAGUUGAAAUGAGUAAGUGGAAUUGUUUGCG